rnacentral:rRNA from 1 species
AUUGAACGCUGGCGGCAUGCCUAACACAUGCAAGUCGAACGGCAGCACGGGAGCUUGCUCCUGGUGGCGAGUGGCGGACGGGUGAGUAAUGCAUAGGAAUCUGCCCAGUAGCGGGGGACAACUUGGGGGAAACUCAAGCUAAUACCGCAUACGCCCUACGGGGGAAAGCGGGGGACCGUUCGGGCCUCGCACUAUUGGAUGAGCCUAUGUCAGAUUGGCUUGUUGGUGGGGUAAAGGCCGUACCAAGGCGACGAUCCGUAGCUGGUCUGAGAGGACGAUCAGCCACACUGGGACUGAGACACGGCCCAGACUCCUACGGGAGGCAGCAGUGGGGAAUAUUGCACAAUGGGCGAAAGCCUGAUGCAGCAAUGCCGCGUGUGUGAAGAAGGCCUGCGGGUUGUAAAGCACUUUCAGUAGGGAGGAAACAGUAGCCGGUUAAUANCCGGUUUGCCUUGACGUUACCUACAGAAGAAGCACCGG